rnacentral:rRNA from 1 species
GGGCGSCCGAUGGCGGAUUAGCUAGUUGGUGGGGUAAAGSCCUACCAAGGCGACGAUCCGUAGCUGGUCUGAGAGGACGACCAGCCACACUGGGACUGAGACACGGCCCAGACUCCUACGGGAGGCAGCAGUGGGGAAUUUUGGACAAUGGGGGCAACCCUGAUCCAGCAAUGCCGCGUGUGUGAAGAAGGCCUUCGGGUUGUAAAGCACUUUUGUCCGGAAAGAAAUCCCCUGCCCUAAUACGGCGGGGGGAUGACGGUACCGGAAGAAUAAGCACCGGCUAACUACGUGCCAGCAGCCGCGGUAAUACGUAGGGUGCAAGCGUUAAUCGGAAUUACUGGGCGUAAAGCGUGCGCAGGCGGUUCGCUAAGACAGAUGUGAAAUCCCCGGGCUUAACCUGGGAACUGCAUUUGUGACUGGCGGGCUAGAGUAUGGCAGAGGGGGGUAGAAUUCCACGUGUAGCAGUGAAAUGCGUAGAGAUGUGGAGGAAUACCGAUGGCGAAGGCAGCCCCCUGGGCCAAUACUGACGCUCAUGCACGAAASCGUGGGGAGCAMACAGGAUYMGAUMCCCUGGUAGCCCCCGCCCYMAACGAUGUCMACUAGUUGUUGGGGAUUNAUUWMMWUAGUAAAGUAU